GGCUAUGAUUUAAUUAUCACCAUAACUAUCUCAUUUUAGAGAUCUAAUAAUUUAAAAAAUUUAAUUUAUGAAUUGAGAGAAAAGAGAAGAGAUCAAUCGGUAGAUCGCAAUUCUCCCACCGAUUUUAUCAAGUCAUUAAAUUGGAUUAGGGUCAUUCUGAUAAAAAUGGCACCUAGAUCAGUCACACUGAUUAACCUUAAUGGCAUGGACUAACUCGAAUUACUUAACGAUCUUAUCAAAAUAUAAUUCAUCAAAUUGGUCAGGUAAGUG
rnacentral:lncRNA from 1 species